rnacentral:rRNA from 1 species
AAAUUGAAGAGUUUGAUCAUGGCUCAGAUUGAACGCUGGCGGCAGGCCUAACACAUGCAAGUCGAACGGUAACAGGAARCAGCUUGCUGYUUYGCUGACGAGUGGCGGACGGGUGAGUAAUGUCUGGGAAACUGCCUGAUGGAGGGGGAUAACUACUGGAAACGGUAGCUAAUACCGCAUAACGUCGCAAGACCAAAGAGGGGGACCUUCGGGCCUCUUGCCAUCGGAUGUGCCCAGAUGGGAUUAGCUAGUAGGUGGGGUAAAGGCUCACCUAGGCGA